GUCACUUCCAGGCAAGAGCGUGCCGUUGCUGGGCCUGGGUCCUCCAAAGCUCUCUCUUCCCUCAGUGACAAGGUUGGAAAUGCACAAGAGCUGUUCUUAGCCAGAAAAUGCCAGAUGGCACUAGGGAAUCAGCUUCAUGCUAUUCCAGAGCAAUGUCAUCCACACAGAGAGCCAGCAGCUAAUUGACAAAGAUACCCUCGCUGUUUUUAUAGAAGUCAAGAUGUCCUACUUCUAUCACUAAACUGUCCUUUUAGAACUGGCUUGGGUCUCAAGCUCUCUUUGGAACUUUAUUCUAGGGCUUCCAUGGUGGUUUUCCCUGUGGGUGUCUAAUUAAGAUUUGUUGAUGAAGAGAUCACUGUUCUGAGGUUUGCUGUCUCCAGAUCAGAAAGUUCAGAAGAACAGUCCUGUAGGGUGUCACAAAAUCAGGAAAUAAAUAGUAAAGUUUAGCCUCAAACAAGAUAUUGAAGGUACCUGAGAGAAGAUUCUCCCAGAAAAUUGUUUUAGUUACUCAAUAAUUCCCACAGAAUGAGUCAGAAAGAAAUGGCCAAGAAGUCCUUUUUCACAUCUCAUUCCAAAGUUAGCUGGUGAGUGCGGCCCAGUCCAGUGAUUUCCAGUCCUCUGUCUGUGGAUGGAUUUGCUACAACAGAGUCACUUACGAAAUACCUGAUCCCUGCAUCCACCCUUACGAAUCACAAUGGCACAGCAGCAUGUGGAAAUUAAGCAAGUGCCAGAGGUGACUCUGAUAAGGUCCAGGGUAGUGGUUCUUAAAGUGUGGGCCCCACACCAGCAGCAGCAGCACCUGGAGCUGCUUAGAGACACGGCUCACGGGCCCCUAACCUACUAGUCAGGAACUCAGGAGUGGCCCAGCAAGGGCUUUAUGCUCCAGAUGGUUUUGAAGCAUGGGAACAUGUGAGAAUCACCGUUCUAGGGGCUUCUUAUGGUUACAAUAACCAAAUAUUUCUAGGGAAUCUUUUUGGGUAACAAUUGGUCUGAUUGUUUAAAAAUAUGUGACACUGCCGACGAUUGGCCAUUUGCUUAUUUAACAGAUUUUUACUGAGUGGUUCCUGUGUUGUAGGUAUUAUGCUAGGUGCUGGAAAUAAAGAGAUAAAAAAGACUGAAUUUCUGCCUCUGGACUCUAAAGGGAUAUGCACAUGUGAACAAAUAGUUGUGAUUCUGUAUGUAGAGUGCUAUGAAAUAUACGUGUAAAAGAUUAAUUCUGUGAUAAGGGAUGUGGCCCAAGGAAGACUUUUGAGCUCUGAACAAGUUCUGAACACUGAGGAUCACACAUAGAAAUCAGAAGGGUACUGAAAUAUCCUCUGAUGACUUUAUGCUACUUGAGCGAAUGUGAAGAAUAAAACUUGGACCCUCUGAGCUGUCCAGUCCUCCUCGCCACGUGAAGACCCGUGGACUACUGCAAGAGGGGACUGAGGCUGCAGAGUGACUAUUCACCCAGCGGAAGUGUGGCUGUGGCUGUCUCUCUCCACGUCAAGUAGGAAUAUAGCAAGAGCCCAGAAGAAGGAGGUCACAUGAAAGCAUGAGCCUUAGCAUUAACUCUGCCCGCCACAGAAAGGGGGCACACUGAUGCAGUGUUCUCACAUUACACCUCUCGGGAGUGCUGAAAGGCAGGGGAAGAAGAUUCAAAAUGAUGCUUCCCACAUAAUUCCCUCCUGGGAAUGAAGUCCUUUCUCCUGAUGGAAACACGUGGGACUAAGUAGUUAAGUGCCCUCCAACCAAAGCCAGGGGUUGGUAGGCAGAUGAGCAGAAGCCAGAGAGCAUUUCAGAUGGAGGGCUAGCACAUGCAAAGGCCUGGAGCCUAAAAUAACAGGGAAAGCUUGUAGAAGGUUGGCAUGGGAUUUUGUUGUUUAAUUUUUCAGUGUUGCCUUUCAGAUAGGAAGUGAGGAGACUAAAUUUAUUUUAAACAUUAGAAAGAGCAUUUCAUUAGUUUAUAACAGUAAAAAAAUGAAGAUAUACAUGACCAAUAAUAGCAUACUGAUAAAGUAAAUUAUGGUAGAGCCAU